rnacentral:lncRNA from 1 species
AAAUAAUUCACUUUUUCUAAAUAUUUUUUCGAGUAAGGUUUUGUUUAUCCAUCGUAAGCAAUUGUUUUUAUAUCUAAUAGUAUAACAGUUUGCCAUACGAUUUUUAUCAGCUAUUCAGAGACUGACGCGAAGAAAAUGCCGCGCGAUCUCUUCGCGCUCGCGUUCUCUUCCAAUGCCGACGUCCAAGAUGGCGAUUCUUGCCGUUAUUGACGCUCCAUUGGUAAGUACUUUUUCUUAUAACUCUUCAUCGGUUCCCUUUCGAAAUUUAUUCCUGGUCACGUGAUAAAAUAUUUCGCAAAAAGAAAAACCCAGAUUCGGUGAAAUUCAAAUUCAUGCCCUUCGCUACUUUAAAUUUGUACCUUUAGGCGAAAGCCUAUACAAUUUACGUGAGGAAGAAAAGCGAUCGGCGGGUUUUGGCCAAACUCGAUUAUUGUGAGGUAGAAGACUGAUAAUAAAGUCGGGUCCAAUCAAGUUCGCACGCAAAGAGCCGGAAGUGAAUAAGCUAAGAAAAAAACGCAAAAAUUCCACAUCCAGGUGGACCAAAUGCCGGUCGGUAGGAGUCCGUACCGGGUCUCGUUCCCAUCAGAAACGGUUUUUUCUGACGGGAGUGCGGAAGAUCCAACCUGUUUCGGUCGAAACAAAAAACGGUACGGAAUAGUCGAAAAAGGGAAAUCGGAUGGAGGGAGGUGGAUUAGAUAGACAGGCGGAAAGUAGCCAACAAGUCUGGGCGGGUAGAGGUAGUUUAGGGAUGGUAAUUAACGUCCGGCGCUACCUACGACUAGAGCCGCCCACCAGCCGGAACAGGUAAAACGGUGGAUGAGGAUUUUUUCGAAGAAUUGUCCAAUCUGACGGAUCGACCAGGUAUACCGACCGUAACAGCGAAAACUGAAGAAAGCGGAGCGGAACAUCUGACAAGAAGGCGAGUACAACGACGAAGGAAAAGUAAACGGAGACUGGCACCGACAGUUAAUCCGGCGGACGGCGAAGACAAACGGAAUAUAAAUGGACGGUAGACAGAAGGGUCCAGAUAGGAAACGGAAUCGAAGGCGUCGGCCGUGCUGGUUAGGUGGCGUAAUAUAUAAGUAAAAUAUAAUCACAGGGUCAAAUAGAACUACAUUCAUGGGCAGAAGUUGUUAUUUCGGACGGAAAAACCGAGUGGAAAGUGGCGUCAUCUGUCGAUAAAACAAGAUCCCACGGCUAAGGAGGCGGACAGUCCUUUCUAAUCGGCAUUGGUUAACUCUACGGUCUCCGAGAAUCGAAGGAUGGUAAAAUGGGCGAAUAGCUCGGGGCGGCCGAGCCAUCCUCAGACACCAAAAAUCGGACGAAUAUCCGGUGGAAGAAAUCCCCUUAACCCGUCAGAUUUCUACGGAGGACACGACUGCGAUAGUCGUAGCCGAAAGCGGUAAUGGACAUUCCUUAAAGUAGAAGCCACUCACCUGUCACCAUGGACGAGCCAGGGCCCGGCUGAGACAAUGUCGGUGCGGAACGUCAUCGACUACCGGCACUGUUUACUUCCGCCGGCCGAGCCCGAUAGUAGACGUGUGUCUAGACUGGCGUCUAAAUAAAGCCAAUCGGAGCAGGCCAGCCUCUGUCUGGAAGCAGUCUAGACGGCAGCCGUCUACCGGAACCGACCGUCGGCCUUUCCCUCUUUCGGCCCCAAUAACUAAACCACCUAUCAAUUUUACUGGCCGUUUUUUUCAGGCCGAAGGCCCACCAUCGUCCGGACCGCCGCCUCUUCUCCACUAAAGGGACGAGGGGAGGCCGGUCCGGUGGUCCCGUCCAAAGGCGGGAACCGAUUUUCCAGUAGACGGGCCGUCUCUCCCCGCCGAAGAUAUGGACCGUCCGCAGUCGGUUAGUAGGCUAAUGGACGAGAGUCGGAUGGGCAGAGUUAAGACGGUAGCCAACCACUAUAGAAAUUUGGGUCCGAUUAAAAAUUUCCGUUUGUCUCCUAAUAAACAUAUUUUAAAACGGAUUAAAGCAAACUUAUAUUUUAACAUUUAUGGCCGCACCUGGGCAAAUUCCUUAAUUACGUUUGUAUCAUCUAGUCGAGCUGUUAGACGCUUUUCCACAGCCAAGUAAUUUUUCCCGCUAAUUUCCCACGGCCGAACAAUUUGUAGUGGAUGGGGAGCUCCGUAGACUACGUCACACUCUUAGGGGGACAAUUGUCGUGUCACGCUGUUGGCGCGGUUAGAGUUUUGUAUUUCUGUCGUUGAAAUUUCUUUUAUAAAAUAUAUCAUUUUUACGCUUAACCGUGUUCGAAAAACAAAAAUUAUCACGUAAAACAGUGGUCUCAAACUGGCGCCUCGCCAAGAUGUUUUACUCUUUCUUUAAAUAUAUAUUACCAUCGAAAAAUGAUUACAAUUUAACCUUAACAAAGCCGUUUUAUAAUCUCAUAAUGUUAUUUCGAUAUCUUUGUAAGAAGAAAAGAAAAUAAUUGCCUAAAUAUUUUCCUUUCGAAUUGCGCAUUCGAC